UACAGAGGGGGCAAGCGUUGUUCGGAAUUACUGGGCGUAAAGGGCGCGUAGGCGGCCUGCUAAGUCGAACGUGAAAUCCCCGGGCUCAACCCGGGAACUGCGUCCGAUACUGGCAGGCUUGAAUCCGGGAGAGGGAUGCGGAAUUCCAGGUGUAGCGGUGAAAUGCGUAGAUAUCUGGAGGAACACCGGUGGCGAAGGCGGCAUCCUGGACCGGCAUUGACGCUCAUGCACAAAAGCGUGGGGAGCAAACAGG
rnacentral:rRNA from 1 species